UGGAUUUAUUGCUACCGUAGACCGACCAAAGAACCUAACCGCAACCUUAUAAAAUGUAAGAUAGUAUUAAAUUACCAAUCAAUUACAACUUUACUUUGCUUAUGCUAUACAAGUGUCUUAAUCAUAUAUGUAUACCAAGGAAUCCAAUAAACAAAGUGCAAAUGCAUUUACAAAGAGAUGCUAAGUGGACCACAAAUGAGCAACUUUGUUUAUCCUUUACAAGGAAAGAAAGCAAUAAAAAUAUAAACAAGGGAUAAGGAGCUCUCCAAUCUUCUUUGCUUCUCUUCCCCAAGAAAAGAAUAAUAUUUUUUUUUCUUCCUUUUUCCCUUUUCUUCACCUUUCUUGCGGUGAUUUUAAAAACAUAAAAUCAUAAGAAAAAAAGUUUCUAUUAAAAAAAGAAAAUAAAAUUAAUCGAACAAUCACUUUACAGACUUUUCUUGACUAUAACCGUAAUAAGAGAGAUACCAUCUAACAAAUUUUCUCAACCCGGUUUGCAAAUCAGUUGUCGGUUUAUACCCGAGUUCUUUUCGAGCCGAGCUAAUAUUUGCAUGUGUAAAAGGAACGUCGCCGUUUCCUAGCAUAUCCACAGUAUGCUUCUUAGCUUUUACCUUCAAAUGCUUCUCCAACAUCCCAACCAUCAUCGGAACAGUCACCGGUGAAGUAUUACCCAAAUUAAAGAUCCGAUAAGUAGCGGGGCCUCGUUUCUUUCCACCCGACCCGGUGCUCUUCCCCGCAGUAUCUAAUGAUCCAACACACCCUUUCACAAUAUCAUCAAUGUAAGUAAAAUCCCGGGCCAAGUCAACCCGAUUCUUACCCCGGUAAAUUGUAAUCGGUUUUCCUUGUAAAGUAUUCCGGGUAAAUGAAAAAUAAGCCAUGUCGGGUCUGCCCCAUGGACUUUCCUUGUAAAAUAUUCCGGGUAAAUGAAAAAUAAGCCAUGUCGGGUCUGCCCCAUGGACCAUAAACAGUAAAAAACCUCAACCCAGUAAUUGAUAACCCGUAAAUGUGAUUGUACGUGUGAGUAAUUUCCUCACCAGCUUUCUUUGUUGCUGCAUACAAUGAAGCGGGUUGAUCAGUCCGAUCAGAUUCAGAAAACGGUACCUUUUCAUUUAACCCGU
rnacentral:lncRNA from 1 species